UUUGAUUCAUCGGAGAUAUGAAACAAUUGCAAUUUAGUGAAGUUUCAGUGGAUGGUGCACAAAUGGGGGGUACCCAAGGCUGCUUUCAACACUCGUGACUUGACCAUGCAUUGUGCCCAAUACUAUUGCACUCGAUCUACUUUAUGUCACCAACCAGAAAUUUCUGUGAAACUGUCCAUAUAUAUAAAUGGUCAAAAGAAAAUGCGAAAAGGUGGUGAAGAUAUCCUCAUCAUCAGACUAGUCAAGAUCGAUGAAUAAAAAUGAUCUUAUGUCAUCAUGAUCGACUUUAUAUAUUAGUGGCCUAGCUUUUCUGUUUUAGUGAGGUAAGUAGAGGGAGACGUCUAGAAUCUACCCGGGGGUGCAUCUACCCAAGGUGUUUGUGGACAGGUGUCAGCAGGCGGGCACAUGACACGGGUUGACAGCGUCAUGUCGUUAACUAGAGAGAUGGUAAAUACGGGGAUGUAUUUGGGGGUCUGGGUUAGUUUGUUGAGGUAAAUACGGGGAUGUUAGUUUGUUUGUUAACUUGAUCGUUUGCUGAUGGUAUUGAACUGAACCGGUAUCGAAUCGGGGCUAUCGAAAGGGGAUCGAGUGGGCAGACGAGGUCGCGCUUUGGUCUUAGAUAUUAUCGCGGCGGCGGCGGCACAAUCUGGUGACAUACCUUUUGGCGCUUGGUGAAAUUCUGGGCAUAGAGAAGAAUUUGUGUAGCGAGUUUUUCAUGAAGGAGGCCGCGACUAUUUCCAACAGCAGCCCUCAACUUCGUCUUCGUCUUCCUCUAUUCUCCAAUCACUUCCUCUCCAUCUGGUACUUAUCUUUGUUUGGUUUGUUCGGUUCUGCUUUUUUCCAGUCAAAAUUCGAUUUUAUGUGUUUAUUAGCUGGGUUUUUCAGUGUUUAGUAUUGGGNNNNNNNNNNNNNNNNNNNNAUGGAAAUGGUUUUGGGUGCUUGUGUAGCGUGAUUUCUCUUGGACAUGCUUGGCUACUGAUAUGUAAGAUUUGUGAUACGGAAGGCAACUUUUCUUUAUUGCUGUGAUUCUAAUUUAGCAUGUUAUUGGUGUGUUUGUGGAAGUUUUCUCUGUAAUUGUUUUAAAUGUCUGUUGAUGAGAAUAGUUGGCUCAUCAACUUGAUAUUCUACUGAACUUCAUCGAUAUGAUGCUCCUUUGGGUUCUAAAUUCCUUCUUAUGAUAUUGUUAUGAAUUUGUAGUUACCAACUUGUUCAUAGUAACAAGUAUCCUUGUUUGGAUGUCUUGAUCAUGAAUAUAAACUAGCCUUUGAGUAUCUUAUUCGGAAAUCAUUGAAAUAUGCACAGCAGACCUUGUCUUUUUAUAUUGUUUAAAUUCUUUCUUCUCAAGUUAAGUUGCAGUCAUGACUCCUUCGAAUUCGGUACUUAUCAGUAUAGUAUUGUUUUAUUCAAAUUCUGAGCUAUGUCUACCUUGUUAUGUAGUAGCACUUUGUAAUUUCUGAGGAAGUUGUACAUGGCUGCUAUUUGAGUCUUGUUUCCUAUCAAAUUAUUGUUUGUUCGUUUGUAUUCAGAAUUCAUUCGUUCAAAGCUCUUCAUGCUUAGUCUUCAUGAUAGUGUCCUUAUUAAGCUCUAAUUCUUAUCAAAUUCUUUGUUGUUUGGUUGUGUUCCUAAAAUCCCAACCCACCAGUACAUAUGUAACAUUUGUUGCUGAACCAAAAACUGAAAUCUGAAGAUUUCAGGAACUCUUAAAAUUAUGGCCACAGUCUAGUUUCAUUGUUAUUAUCUUGUUCCCUUCUAGCAAAGCUUGUGCAACGUGUUAAGUUCCUGCUUCUUAUUCUCUUCCCAUCUUUCCAAUGAUCCUAUCAUCAAGUUUUAUCUCAGAAAUGAUUCUUUGAAUUCACAUGAUUAUUGGUCAUUGCCUUAUUAAACAUUAAAAACACUCCAACUGGUAGUAUUCCUUAAAACAAAUCCUAUUGUGAACUAGUCUUGCUGCAAAUUACCUUCGAGUUUGAACAGAUAUCCAUGUCCAUUAUCAGUUUACUAAGUAUACACCAGGUCCCUUCACAUAUGCAUAUAUUUGGGGAAAGUUUCAAAUACUAAAAAGAAAACAGAUUGGUCCCUGGCUUUUCUUACUAAGCUUAGGUUGCUGCGAUGAGCAAAUCACAUAUGUAUAUUUGCAUUGUUUGUUCAGUUGUUAAAUGAAGUUCUGAUUCCUCAUCAAGUCUGGGGUCAAAACUUAAUUUAAUCAAUUGUUUUUUUAUAGAAAACAGAGGUCCAUUCUUUUGCAAUACCUUACUUCUGAUUUUUUGUUUGUCUCGUAUUGUACCCCUUUUGAGAUUUCCAGACAUAUAUGUAUACCCCUGUUUGUUCUCCUGUUAAGUUUCCUGUUUACUAUCAGUUUGGUGGUUCUUUACUUCUCAUGCUUACAUGUUUCCUCAUUAAAGUAUAUCUGCGCCCAAAGCUAUGUUGUCUGCUGCUUUAAAGUCUCAAGCUCGAGUGUUUAUAUCGUUUUGAUUUUCAUAAAGCAUGAGUUGUUAAAGUUGUGUUUCUUGACAAACACAAAAAGAGAUUUACCUUUCAAGGUUUACUUCAUGGCAAAACUUCUCUAUAAGAAAGAGUAUUUCAGUCUCUUGAAAUCCCUUAAUGAUUGUUUUGGCUUAAAGAAGCCAAAAGGUUUACAGAAAGCACAUGUUUGGUUUUGAACGGUAUUAUUUGAUUAGGCCAGGAUAAGUUAAGUAGGGAUUGUGCCUCCCUAGGGUGAAUAGACCAACAGUUUUGUAAUGAUCAGGAUUCCGCUUAGUACGGGGUGUCCUCGUUGGCUUUAAUACGAGGGGUUUUCCGCUUGUACGGGGUGUGCUCGUUGGCCUUAAUACGAGCAAUGGGCUCUAACCGGAAAAGGAAGGAUUUCAAGGAUUUCGUUGGAAAAGAAGAAUAAGGGUUUCUGAAUGUUGAACAAAGUGUUUGAAAGAAAAAGAAGACUCUGGUCUUAUUGCUAUUGUCGAAUUUGCGUUGGGUUUAAUUUUCUAAUGUCACAGAGUGUGACUCAAAAGUGUUGGUCUCAGUUCGUUGUUCCUUUUACAUGUUCAGUUGUUUAUUUAAGUGUCCCAAGCUGAAUGUCGUCUUUGUUGAAAGCUGAGUAACCUUAUAUCAAUUGAGUCAUUGAUUCCAUUCUCAUAAUUCUCAGCAGCAACCUUCAUAAUUUAAUUCCAUUUCAUUCCGUUUACUAUUGAUAUUCUUUCACAUUACUCCAAUUGCAUUCUAAAUUUGAAUCAUAGUACUAUUGAUUAUCUUCUGUACCUACUAAGCUUGUGAAGCUCACUUCCCUAUGUUUCAUUUGUUCUCAGGAAAGAAGUGUGGUGAUGUUUCUGAUAUUCCAGAGUUGACUUAAAUCAGAGUUCAUUACCCAGUUAUGCUUGCUUGUGGACUGAGUGCCUCACUUUUGCUUUAUUGAGUAUGUGCUGCUGUUUUCUUUAGAUUGUGCUCAGUACGUAUUUGUUUGGAAUGGUGGCAUUUUGUUAAUAUAGUGGUAUGAAGUAGAAAGUCCACUCUGAUCUGGGUACAUCUGAUGUAAAUUUUGAUACCAUGUGAUGGACAACUUUGUAAAUAAAAUGCAAUCAAUUGCAUGUGUAUAUAAAGGAUCGUUUUCUUACUCUGUUUUACCUUGCUGAAUUAUGGCAGUUGAAUUUAGAGGGUGGCUUUC
rnacentral:lncRNA from 1 species